rnacentral:rRNA from 1 species
UACGAAGGGGGCUAGCGUUGCUCGGAAUUACUGGGCGUAAAGGGCGCGUAGGCGGAUAUUUAAGUCGGGGGUGAAAGCCCAGGGCUCAACCCUGGAAUUGCCUUCGAUACUGGAUAUCUUGAGUUCGGGAGAGGUGAGUGGAAUGCCGAGUGUAGAGGUGAAAUUCGUAGAUAUUCGGCGGAACACCAGUGGCGAAGGCGACUCACUGGCCCGAUACUGACGCUGAGGCGCGAAAGCGUGGGGAGCAAACAGGAUUAAGA